UACCAGCACCCCGAGUGGUCGGGACGAUUAUUGGGCCUAAAGCAUCCGUAGCCGGUCAUGCAAGUCCUCCGUUAAAUCCACCUGCUUAACAGAUGGGCUGCGGAGGAUACUACAAGGCUAGGAGGCGGAAGAGGCAAGCAGUACUCAGUGGGUAGGGGUAAAAUCCUCUGAUCCAUUGAAGACCACCAGUGGCGAAGGCGGCUUGCCAAUACGCGCUCGACGGUGAGGGAUGAAAGCUGGGGGAGCAAACCGG
rnacentral:rRNA from 1 species